GGACUACUAGGGUAUCUAAUCCUGUUUGCUCCCCACGCUUUCGCGCAUCAGCGUCAAUACCGGUCCAGUUGGCCGCCUUCGCCACCGGUGUUCUUCCCAAUCUCUACGAAUUUCACCUCUACACUGGGAAUUCCACCAACCUCUCCCGGAUUCAAGCGCACCAGUAUCAAAUGCAGUUCCCAGGUUGAGCCCGGGGCUUUCACAUCUGACUUAGAGCACCGCCUACGCGCCCUUUACGCCCAGUAAUUCCGAACAACGCUUGCCCCCUUCGUAUUACCGCGGCUGCUGGCAC
rnacentral:rRNA from 1 species